UACGGAGGGUGCGAGCGUUGUCCGGAAUCAUUGGGCGUAAAGGGCGCGUAGGUGGCCCGGUCAGUUCGUGGUGAAAGCGCGGGGCUCAACCCUGCGUCGGCCAUGAAUACUGCCGCGGCUGGAGCACUGUAGAGGCAGGCGGAAUUCCGGGUGUAGCGGUGGAAUGCGUAGAGAUCCGGAAGAACACCGGUGGCGAAGGCGGCCUGCUGGGCAGUUGCUGACACUGAGCGCGACAGCGUGGGGAGCAACAGG
rnacentral:rRNA from 1 species